GGAGCGCACGGACGGGCGGAGGCGGCGGCCGCAGCCCUCGCUCACGGCCUGGCCGGGGCUCGGUUCGCUUACAUAAGGCAGCAGCGCCUGUAUCCCGUUUCCUGGUGCCGCCGCCCGCGCUGGGUGCACUCCCUGAGAAGUUUCGAAACUGACCCCGCGCAUUGUUCAGGAGGCGCCGGGUCACAAAGCAAAGUGCAGCGCAGGAGAGCGCAGGGCUGCCGGUCUCUCCGGCGGGAGCCAGCCGGCAUCGGUUUGAAUAGCUACAACAAUGGUUAAACUAAGUGUUUCCAGAGUGUUAAAGAAAGCUUGGACCACCACCACGUGUUCACAUAUACAUGACAGGAAUGUAGUGGACUCAGCAAAGUCAUUUUCUGUCCUCUGCUUAGACCAUUUAUUGGUGGACAAGCGUAAAUACCAGAGUGGAAUGAGGAGAAUAACAGAAAAGAGAAAAUUUAUCUGAAAAAGGACUCAGGAGUUUAUCUGGACCACUCCCUUAUCUCCAGGGAGGACUCACUUCUACUUCAGAUCUGAUACAGCUAUGAAAAGAGAAGAAAUCAAUGUGGCCAAUUGCAUGUGCUGCCAGCAUCAUCUCACAGGAGUACCCUACUGCAGCAAUGUCUUCUGUGCUGACAUCUUCCAUACCUCAACUCUGAGAUGGAAAUGAUUGCCAAUAUACGAAAGAAAAGCCAUACACAGCUUUGGGAAACAGAAAGAGAUGGAAGAGAAGGAGCCACUGCACUUUUGUACCCAGGAAUGACCUUUGGGAGUACAACUCCUUUUCACCACACAGAGCAGAUAAAAUGAGCUGGCACAAAGGAAAGAAGGACCUCAUGGAAGGAAGCGCAGGAGAUGGGAAGCACGGCCGAAAAAAGCGAGAGCGGCUAUUUAAGAAGAGAUUUUCUGGACUGAGCCUUUUCUCUGGGUCUCCUAAGAAUAAAUUGUAAGUACAUCCCAGAUUAUAUUUUGUAUACAUUUUUAACCAAGAAAUUUUGUAAGUAUUUCCAGAGCAGCUCUGGAAGAGCCACACAGACACUUUUGUUAGCUCUGCCGUAUUAACUGUUUCACAAACAAGGAAACAGUUAUGGACUAAUUAAACAACUUGACCUUAAAACUAGGAAGUCACUGGCAGAAGUAGACACAAAAUGAAUGUCUCCAAACCUUGUGUGUCUGUGUGUUCCUCUUAUAACCAUUUUCCAAUGCUUCCACAGUGAGAGAUUCAGAGAGGCAGCAUCUCUGUUCCUCCAGAUACACACUAGCACUGCCAGCCCGACAACCCGGGACACUGGUCUAGGAGUAACAAUGCUGCAGUUUUUGUUGCACUGACAGCUGUAACUCCGGGGUGUAAUGGGCAAUGGCAGUGUAUGGGCAGCAGCAAAAAUCACUGUCCAACAAAGUCAGUGCUACUAAGUUUCUUGAAUCAGAGCAUAAUUAUUGCUUGUGUUCCUACAAUCGUACCUUUAUAGUUACUACUUUUCAGUUAGAAGGAGAAAAGGAAAAACAAAACAAAAAGACAAGCAACACAAAACUAUUCCUUUUUCAACAAAAGUAAGCAGAGGUAAAAGUCAGUUUGAGCUUACUGCUUUGUGCAUGUAUUAGUUUUGAGCCAUUAUAAUCAUCCAUUUGGGGUUUGAAAUUCUCUUUUUGGGUCUUUCUACUUGAUAUUAUUCAUAUUAUUCUUCCUUAACACAAAAAUUAAACUGAGUGUAUGCAUCAUGCUAAGAUCAGGAGGGGUUUCCAAAAACUGUUUUUUCUCAUUCAAGACCUGCAUUCCCUACAGAUCUCCUACAAAGAGUCUGUCUUUGAUAAUUAUCAUGAAAUUACCGUCUUAGGAGGAAGUGCACGCAAGUCUCCACAAUUACUCAGCUAACUACAUUAAGCUUGAUAGCCACAGCAGCUGGUUACAGGCUCGACAUAAGAUUAAAAUACACUAGCCAGAAAUGAACCUGAGAGCCACAUUUUUCUCUCAGACUGAUCUAAUUGCAGCACAACUAAUACCAAGGCCUUGGCUUUGGGAUUUAUCUUGCUGCACUGCUAAGGAACUGGACUUGAAACAUAGUCAAACAUCCAAAAAGUGAAUUACAUCUGUGAGUAUCCUCUGUUAUUCAUAAUUUCACUGAAGUGUGCAUUCAGGGGGCAGACAAAUGCAAAGCAGUAAAACCAUGUUUUCCAGACAUUGAUCCUUCUGUGUCAGUGAUAAAUAUGGACUUCCCCAGUUUGAAAAAAAGAUUAAAAAGAAAUUCAACAGGAAUAUAGGAACCUCCUCCCAUGGUGCUCUCACAUUAAUGGAAAGAGUCAGUCUUCAGACCUUACUGGAGAUAUUUCUACAGACACAUUGCAUGGCAGUGGUUUUUAAACACAUUCAAGCCACAAGGGCCUACAGAACUCCCACAGUGGUACAGCCAAAUCACAUCAUUUCUACAGUUCAGCACUGAUUUGUGAGCUCUCGUAAGGGAUUACGUAGGUUAGCUGCUUGAUUUUGAAGCACUGUUUUAUAUAAAAUACAACGGUAUAUAAUUUGAUCAAGAGACCUUUUCUUUCAGCUCUUCCAUCUCUGUUCAAGGUCAGUGCAAUAUAGGGCUUAUCUACUGGCCAGCAUUAGUGUGCACUGUUAGUGCACACAAGUGGAAAAAGAACCUUUAUGAUGGUAUGGGGGAGGCCUAUUAGGUCAGAUGCCAGUAAUUUAGAUACACAGAGCUGUAUGGAAUUUGUCUUCAUGCAAACACAUGAGGCUUGUGCCACAAUCACCCACAGAAAAGCUGCAUAUUAAAGAUCCUACCUAGCUAGCUGGCAUCACUGGUUUAUGGUUUUGUUUAAAUGAUGGAAAUCCUUUAAUCAUUCUGUGUUCUAAAACUAAUGGUUUGUCCUGCCAUCACAGCCAGACUCCCCUUUUUCUGUCCAUUCCUGCUUUCUGCAGGUGACCACACGUUGCACCUGCUCCUGGUGUGUCACAGGUACAGCCUGUGGAAGGGUUCAUAAAUCACACACUAAUUGCUUCUGCUGCCCUAGGAAGUGCACAGGCUGAACUUGUCACCUCUCUUUGUGACUGUUGUAGCCCUCAGGGAAGAAGUCAGCUUUUUGAAGACAAGAGGAGAUGUUUACACAGGAAAGGCUCCAAGAAGCUGAAGCCAGCACGGGAGGAAAUCUGUUCUUUGAGGCAGCCACACUCCGGGAAAAUGUGUCCGAAAUGCGAGAUCCUCACCUGCCGGAAGUGCGAGACCCUGCACUCGGAGAGCGGCUUCAUUGCCCACAGCCUGCUCGACCACUAUGACAGGGGAGGAGCCACAGCCCACCUGUGACUGCAGAGGGGUGAUUAAAGAUCUGAUGUGGGUACCCUGCCAGUACCCAACCACAUCCCAAACGCUAAAGCUUGGAUCCCUCAGGCUCACUGGGUCUCCGGCCUGCGCAGCAUCAGCAAUUCCAGCCAUACUGUAGCUCACACUAUACACAGCAGAUGCACAUGCAGUAAUUUAACCAGCAUGCACCCUGCAAGCAAAGAUCUGUAAGCUAAAAGUUUCUCAGCUGCUAAGGACAAGGAAUUGUUUCAGAAAUAAUCUCCAGUUUUCUUUGUUCUCUCCAGGAAACAAGAUUAUCCCACUGAGCUGCAAAGAAGGACGUGACUAUUGCAUGCAGAACACUGGGUACAUUGCUCUUACUUGCAAUGCCUUGGUAUGUUUCAGUAUUGUUUGUGGUCUGGAAUAUUAAACAUUUUAUUUUUAAAUUAACUAACUCAGGUAUGCACUUGAUGGGGGAAGGGGGCUUUCUAAAGGCCAUGAGGACUGCAGAUCACAUCCAAACACCCUGCUAGAAUUUCUGACCUCUCACAGGCUUUCAGCACCUCUCUUAUGAUUCAGCAUCUUGCCUUAAAAGAAGCAACAAGGAUCACAACUCUCAAAGUAUAUAAGAUUUCUUCAGGUUCUUAAACCGAAAACUGUAGUUUUUAAGCAGUUCUUAAAACUGUGUAGUGCAGCUCCAAAUAGGCCAAUACACAAUGGUAGGGGUGGGUGGCAUUAAGGUCCAGGCAUACAUAAAACUAUUUAUCUUUUUGGAAUUCUUAAGUACAAGUGAAAGGAGGAAGUAGCCUCUGGAAUAGGUUAUCCCAAGUUUAGCAGCAUACAUCUUUUCCUCCCAUGGCAACUGGCCAACUCUAUAUGCAGGAUGAAUUCCUCACUCUUUGGUUGCUAACAGGCUAAACAGACUUAGUGUCCCAUAGCCAUUGAUAUUAAGGGUUCUUUUAUUUAGCCAAGCAGAUAGAACACAGGCUGGGAAGUCUGGACUUGUUUCAUUAAUCCUUUUCCUAAGGACUCUCUGUGUCCUUCCUGCUCCCCUUUUGGAGCUGUUCCAUUUUUGUUCCAAUGAAUGUUUGGUAAGGGGACUGGAAUCCUGAUUUUUUUUUCUAUCCCUAGGGAGUACUUUGACUGAGCUAUGUCAUCCAUUCUUGUGUUUUGUUUCCACCUCCUCAGAAAACAAUUUCAACAGGAGGAAUUCAGAGCCACAUAUACAACAUUCCUGUGCUCCAGAGUAUCUUGAACAAUACUGCUUAGCUCCCUUUAUGGAAUGUCAAACACUCAAUGCUCCUUAGGCAAGAGACCGAGACCAUUUCAGAAACUAGACUGAGCUGUCCAAAGCCCAAAGGGCAAAGCCCAUUAGGUUCCAUAGGUAGGAGAAAACCUGAGGCAGGAUUUACAAAUAGGAAUGAACCGCUACCAGGAAUGAACCCUUCUGCCCAGACUUCACUGGUUCUGUGUCCUAGCAAGUGCCCAGACUUCCUGUCCAAACACAGACUUCUAAAGCCAGAAAUUAGAUCUUAAGAAGAUCCUUGUGCUACAAGGGCCUUAAUCCCUCAGAAACCAUGUUUCCAUGGUGCUUGAUUGUAGCUUCCGCUCAUUUGCUUCAUAAAAGCCAAGCAAUGCCUGGCAAACCAGAAUUAACCUUUUACGUUUCCCCGUGACUGCUAUUCUUAAGCUGUGAUCCUUCACAGCUUUCCUAAGAAUAAGCCACUCCAGUACUUUAGAAAUAUCUAUUCAUCCUCAUCCCUCUUCAUCAAGCAAUCCAGAGGAAACGUCUCCAGAUAGUCACCUGAGGAAGAGCAAGGUGACAGACUGAAAGGAUGAAGGACUAGCUCAUCACAGCAGCAUUACUUUAAAUCUCACAGUCCACUACAGUGAAACCAGUUCCAAUAGCUGACAUAGUUGAGCUUUUAGCCAAGUGUUCCAGAGGGGAUAGUUCUAUCAGCACCUGCCUGAUGGGAUUUCCUUUGUGGCUUGCUGGAAGACACACAGCAAAGCUCCUCAUAGGGGCUAUUAGUCUGGAAAGGCAUCUAAGUAAUAGCAAUGUGCAAACCCAGCUCAUUUUAGGGAGCAACUUUCUCUUCUCCUCACUUCCCCCCCAGUUAAUGCUGUUUUCCUGUCCUGUUUGAAGGACAGCUGGUAACAUGGUAAAUCAUUUCCCUGACCAGCACUGCAGAAGCACCACUCUUCUCCUCUAUCAGUCAUGAAGUCAAGCUUGGGAAGAACAACUACAACAUUUCCAUUAUGCGCUGAGGUAGCACAAGCUAAUAUGGUCCUUGUUUUCUCAGUAGCUGUUAAAUGACUGCACUUUUCCUGGGCUUCAGAGAUCUGCCUGGUACUGUGAGACCAUGUUUGUUCCUGUCAUACACAGGUUUAUGUGUGUGGUAUUGAGGUCAGGCAAUAAAGCCACUACCUUGAGCUUAGCCUGACUUUGAUCUCCCCAGCCACGGCACAACGAGGCACAUUUGUCUCCAAAAACCCCACAGGCCCCUGCAAACGGUGAAAUCCCAGAGCCAGGGAGCUCUGCAACCUCUAUGGCAGCACCGACUGCCACUCAUCCAUCAGGACAGCUCCACCCCCUCAGCUCUUAUGCCAGACAAGAAAUUUUUAAAAUUAUUUCAAGAAAACUUGCCAAAAACUGGAACAUGUUAUGUGAGCACAGGCUUUCAGUUUUAGAUUUUAAAGCCGGCUCAAGACACAUAAUUAUAUUAAUACAAUAUAUUGUGAAAGAAUUAUAAUAGAAAUACUGAUUACACAUUUAAAAGAUUUGGGCUUGAAAUCAUUCCUAAAUAAUAAAGCUAUGAUCAUACCCUGACAUAUCAGUUAUUAAGAGCCUGUACUCCUUAAUUAUCUGAUUCCAAUAGUUUGAGGAAAUUUAAGAGGAACAUUGGACUCUAUUAUAUUAAAUACACAAAUGGGCUCCAUCAAAGGCAUUCACUAGAAUGUGAGUGACUUGACAAUCAACAGACCCCUGCCAACACAACUGAUACAAGCAUAAAAGGGAAAGGAAGCAACUCCACUGGUGAGGGGCAAAUCCAUGGGAGCUCUUUCCCUGUAAAUCCAACACAGGACAAGCAGGAGUAUAAAAGCAGCAGUUGUCACCACUUGUUCACAAAUCAAAAGAUUCAAGGUAAAGAAAUCAAACCCAUAAAGUACUCAUACAAUCAAAAGAAAACUAGAAUAAAUUAAUACAAUAUAUACACUGCAUAUACCCAAUUUCAGUUUUGGUUUUUAAAGCAGCCUAGGUAGCUUUCUCCUCUGCCAGAUACAAUGAAGGCCUUGAGAAAGAAAAGUAAUUUUUUCAGUUGACAUGUACAGAGCAGACUAGAAGUAGAUCUGGAGAAAAGUAAUUACCAUAACAUGAGACCAUCUGAACUGAAGAUGUUUGAUAUCAAAGUUGUACCUUAUGUUUCUUUUCUACAGCCGCACAAAGCUAUAUCCUUUCCAAAGCUUCCACAUUUAAAAAGGUGAUGUUUCUCCUUACUGUUACAAACAUC